GGCUUGGGUAUGGAGACAUCCACGUGCCCAUACGGGCACAGUGUGCGGGUAGGCACACAGGCUCAGACACAUACAUGCAUGCAUGUGCUCACAGACACUGGCACACCAACUCACUCUCAGGGGAGCAUAUACACAUGCUCACAGGGCAUACAUGCGUGCACACACACGUUUGAUCACAGGACAUGAAUGGCCAACAUACACACAGACACCCCUGCUCCCCAAACUCACCCUCCAAAAUAGGGUCCACAGUAUACAGUGCACCCAGAGCCUUCGAGGUACUCAGGAAUAAGACAUGCCACACACAUACAACUCCCCACCACCUCCCCAAAAAGCUGCUCCCCCAGCCCCCUGCACAAGCCUCUCCUGGACUCCUCCAAUCCUUCCUCUCCACUACCACUGCCCCUCCCCCAGCCCCAACCUCUCCCUCCAUGGGGGCGUCUAGAGGACACCUGCCCACUGAGUGUCCCAUUUAGGACAAAACCCUUCCUGGGCCACGUAUGUCAAGCUGAGGAAACCACUUCUCCUUCAGGAUGCCCUCCAAUUGGGUUCUGUCCCCCAAACUUUUGGACGCUCUGGAAAGCACCUGUGGCCCCAGAGAGCAGACACUCAUAAGCCUUAAAGGAACACAAAGUCCCCUCCACCCCCAGGAGUAGUCCCCAUGUCACAGAUGGAGAAAUUGAGGUGGUAAGUGGGGAAAAGUUGUUCUGAAGGUGUGACCUCUCCUCACCCUAGUCUCUC
rnacentral:lncRNA from 1 species